AUUGAACGCUGGCGGCAGGCUUAACACAUGCAAGUCGAGCGAGCGGCGGACGGGUGAGUAAUGUCUGGGAAACUGCCUGAUGGAGGGGGAUAACUACUGGAAACGGUAGCUAAUACCGCAUACCAUCAGAUGUGCCCAGAUGGUAUUUGCUAGUAGGUGGGGUAAUGGCUCAGCUAGGCGACGACCCCUAGCUGGUCUGAGAGGAUGACCAGCCACACUGGAACGGAGACACGGUCCAGACGCCUACGGGAGGCAGCAUUGGGGAAUAUUGCACAAUGGGGGCAAGCCUGAUGCAGCCAUGCCGCGUGGGUGAAGAAGGCCUUCGGGUGGUAAAGCACGUUCAGCGAGGAGGCGUUACUCGCAGAGGAAGCACCGGCUAACUCCGUGCCAGCAGCCGCGGUAAUAC
rnacentral:rRNA from 1 species